UUAUUUCCAAGCACAGCUGGUAGAGCAUGAGACUCUUAAUCUCACAGUCGUGGGUUUGAGCCCCAAGUUGGGUAAA